rnacentral:rRNA from 1 species
AUGGCGCUGCGCACACUCGCCGCCCGGAUGCGUUCCUCCGCCCUACGCGUGCCUCCGCCGGCUCCCCGCGACCUGCCGGCGCUGGCGGCCCGCGUUCGUCCAAGGUUCUUCUGCAGCACCUCCGCGCAGGGUGGACAGCAGGGCAAAAGACUUGAUUUGAACAAGGCAAGUCAAGAGGAGGUCCUGCGUGAGGUCGAGUUGAUUGGCAAACAGAUAGAUGAAGCCUGGGAGGGAGUGAGGAAGGAGAAAGAGAAGGUGCCUGGCCUGAUGAAGGACAUGUUUGGGACAAUAAAGAUGUGCUUUGGCGCUGGCAUUCUGCUUGAGAUUGUGUCGUAUUCCAUCCCCAUGUUGCGCCCUGCAGCUGAAGCUCAACCUGAGCAGUGA